rnacentral:rRNA from 1 species
CCUACGGGUGGCUGCAGUGGGGAAUUUUGCGCAAUGCGCGGAAGAGUGACGCAGCGACGCCGCGUGAAUGACGACGGCCUUCGGGUCGUAAAGUUCUUUCGACAGGGAAGAAAAUGCCUAUAAGUAACUGUGUAUGUAUUGACGGUACCUGUAUAAGCAGCCCCGGCUAACUCCGUGCCAGCAGCCGCGGGAAUUCGGAGGGGGCGAGCGUUGUUCCGAGUGUAUGGGCGUAAAGAGGACGUAGGGGGUGCUGUAAGUGAUUAGUCAAAGACUAGAGAUCAACUUUAGUAAGGCUAGUGAUACUAGAAGACUUGAGUAUCAGAGAGGAUUGCAGAAUGCCUGGUGUAGCGGUGAAAUGCGUAGAUAUCAGGAGGAAUACCGUUAGCGAAGGCGGCAAUCUGGCGGCAAACUGACGCUGAGGUGCGAAAGCGUGGGUAGCAAACAGGAUUAGAUACCCGUGUAGUC